rnacentral:rRNA from 1 species
GACGAACGCUGGCGGCGUGCUUAACACAUGCAAGUCGAACGAUGAAGCCGGAGCUUGCUCUGGUGAAUUAGUGGCGAACGGGUGAGUAACACGUGAGUAACCUGCCCUUGACUCUGGGAUAACUGCGGGAAACUGUAGCUAAUACCGGAUACGACCCUCGGAGGCAUCUCCUGGGGGUGGAAAGAAUUUCGGUCAAGGAUGGACUCGCGGCCUAUCAGCUAGUUGGUGAGGUAACGGCCCACCAAGGCGACGACGGGUAGCCGGCCUGAGAGGGUGACCGGCCACACUGGGACUGAGACACGGCCCAGACUCCUACGGGAGGCAGCAGUGGGGAAUAUUGCACAAUGGGCGCAAGCCUGAUGCAGCAACGCCGCGUGAGGGAUGACGGCCUUCGGGUUGUAAACCUCUUUUAGCAGGGAAGAAGCGGAAGUGACGGUACCUGCAGAAAAAGCACCGGCUAACUACGUGCCAGCCGCCGCCGUA